rnacentral:rRNA from 1 species
GACGUAGGAUGCGAGCGUUAUUCGGAUUUAUUGGGCGUAAAGAGCGUGUAGGCGGCCUGACAGGUCUGCUGUGAAAACUCGAGGCUCAACCUCGAGAUGUCGGCGGAAACCGUCUGGCUAGAGUCCGGAAGAGGAGAGUGGAAUUCCUGGUGUAGCGGUGAAAUGCGCAGAUAUCAGGAAGAACACCUAUGGCGAAGGCAGCUCUCUGGGACGGUACUGACGCUGAGACGCGAAAGCGUGGGGAGCGAACAGG